GCCUACGGGGGGCAGCAGUGGGGGAUAUUGCACAAUGGGGGAAACCCUGAUGCAGCGACGCCGCGUGGGCGAAGAAGUAUUUCGGCAUGUAAAGCCCUAUCAGCAGGGAAGAAGAAAUGACGGUACCUGAGAAAGAAGCACCGGCUAAAUACGUGCCAGCAGCCGCGGUAAUACGUAUGGUGCAAGCGUUAUCCGGAUUUACUGGGUGUAAAGGGAGCGCAGGCGGCACGG
rnacentral:rRNA from 1 species